AAUAAUCAUAUAAUAGUAUCCGCACAAAUGUAAUUCUUUUGUGAAUAAUGAAAACCACUAUUUUAUCCUUUUUAAGGCCUGGACUUAAUAAGUACUCAAUAGGCUUAAAAUGAAAGAAAAUUAAAAUUUUAUUUAGGUCAUUAUUCAGCCUAUCCUUCAUUAUAAAGUGUUCAUGAAGUUGUUGUCAUGGCAGAGUGAGCACAAGAAAUGUGACAGUGUUCCCUGGUACUUAUUUAUUUCUUUUAUUCCAUCAUUUUUCUUUUACAUAGAUUAAAUUUUUCAUAGUACAUAUUAUGCAAGAGAAUAGUGGUGCUUUCUCAAAUAUUUAUAAUAUAGUUGCUAUAUGUAUUAGACUUAAAAACAUUCUUUGCUGAACACAUACUCGGAGGAAAAAGGAUGGUAAUUAUGAAAACAGAAAUUGAAGAAAAGGGAAUGGAAUAAUGAAUGAAGAAAGUUUGAAGGAAUAGUCCCCAAAAUAGUUGUGUCAGAUAUUCAUCUGAAAUGGGAGGGGAGUUAAAAAGAACAGAUAGAAGACAGUGAAAAGGAAUUUAGACAAGACAAAAAUAUUCUCAAUGGUCUCACUUUAAUCAGUAAAUCAGGGACUGAGUUAUUUUGCCUUGAGGGUAUGUGAAGAAGCAGGGGCCUGAAGAAAACAAAAAAAUAACUUAGACUUCUCAUUGUGAGGCGCUUCAUAGUCUCUUCCCACCAGGAUGUCCAUCCUCCAAUCCUUUCCCAGGGCAGCUGUUACUCAGAACUGUCUUCUCUGUUCUCCUUUAGGACUAGGACUUUGCAAUCCUGAAAGCAAAACAGCAAAAACCAAAAGAUCUCUGCUUUAUUUAUUUAUUUAUAUAUUUAUUUAUUUAUUUAUUUAUUAUUUUUUAGGGCUGCACCCGAACCAUAUGGAGGUUCCCAGGGUAGGGGUCGAAUCGGAGCUACAGCUGCCAGCCACAGCCACGCCAGAUCCAAGCCGCAUCUACGAGCUACACCACAGCCCACAGCAAUGCUGGAUCCUUAACCCACUGAGUGAGGCCAGGGAUCAAACUUGCAUCAUCAUGGAUCCUAGUCAGUUUGUGAACUGCUUAGCCAUGAAGGGAACCCCUACUUUUAUUUUUAAACUAAUUCUCCGAGUUCCCAUCUUGGCACAGUGGAAACGAAUCCGUCUAGGAACCAUGAAGAUAAAAGCCAAAAAAAUUAAAAAAAUAAAAUAAUUCUCAUCUAUUUCUCCAUUUGCUUUCCUCUGUACCUUUUCUUACUGUCAUUUUUUUCUCUUUUUUUCUGUUCUUCUUUUGAAUUUUUUUCUCUUCACUUUUUCAGAAUCAUAAUAUCUGGGAUAUUUCUGUGGUGUUUGUUCAAGUGUAAGAUGUGCCAGGGAUUUGGCUGCCUCUCUAACAACCUAUGAAUGCUGGAGAUGAUUCUGCUGUUAUAGCUGGUCUGCCUUGCCUCCCUCAAUGUUGAGUUGUGGAGAGGUAUAGAGGAGAACCAGAACUGGGGUGUAUGUGUGAGGCAGGGUGGCAGGAAGCAGAGGUGGAAAGUGGAGGCAUUGAUAGAGCUGAGACCACAGACCUGAGAUGCGCAUGCCAUCAUCAGCAGGUCUGGUACAUUCUUACAAGAGUGAGAGACAAGGAGGCUAAAGCCUCGAAUGAGAAAGGGAAAGAAAGCAGGGUGGCUGGGCUCGUAAGAAAAGGUGAAAUAAAUGCAUUAAGGAUUGAAUCACUUAAAAGCAUUUCUUAAAAGCUCACUAUUUUCCAGGGACUGAGAAAUACGCUUUCACAUACAUUAUCUCAUUUAUUUCUACAACAACCCUGUAAAGUCUAUGUGGAAUGUCCUGGGCAUGAAAUUGUCAACUUGGAUAGCUUUUAGCAACCGAAGCUCCAGAUCUCAUUGGCUACCUGAGACUAGAUGUGAGCAGUGAUGAUUGAACAUUGUCCCAUGAAAUCUCAGUAGUGAUAAGAGGAGGAGAAAAAUCCCUCGGGAAGAGGAAAGGGCACAUGUGGAGAAAGGUGGGAUAAUACUACAUAUUCAAAACACUGUACUAUCAUUGAAAUAAAUGCUUUAAAUAUGUUAAAAUGUAUCUAAGAUAAAGACUAAUCUGUCUCCUUCUGUGGAUUUAAAUGUACCAUGAAAAUAUAUAGCUUUAUCUACUUAUAGAUUACCCACUGGCCAAGAUGGCCUAAUGCUUUCCUUGGCUUGACUAAACUUUAGACGAAAUAAAGUUUUGUCCUUACGAUAGGUCCCUGACCUUCUUUUACUCUGAGCAUUUACUUUAGAAAAUUUGGAAUUAUAAGUUCCUUUUCUGACCCUCUGAGAUAUAAAUCUUGUCCUAGCCUCUUGCCAGUUUUAUAGCUGAGGAAUGCCUUUCUCAAGGACCCAGGGGCCAUCCUUUGAAAUCUUCAAGAAAGAUAGCACCCUUAUCUUCCUGUCUCAGUGGGAGGGUAGGAGCCUAAUUUCGGUAAGUACAGAUUAGCAAUCACAGAUGGUCUAAUCAUGUUGACCAAGCCCCCUAACAUCUUCCAAAACUUUCCACUGGAUCACUCCAGCACUUAAAACUCUCCUGCCUAUUGUUCCAGAGGGGAUGAGUUCCAGCUCUCUCUGUUACUGCAGUCCUCUUGAACCCUAUUGCAAUAGUCUCCAAUAAAGUUGUCCUUCUCCUAUUUAAUUCCAUUAGGUGCAAUUUUCCUCUGCUAUUACUAACUCUAGGUGAGUGUCCAUUUGUAAGAAUGAUGUAAACAAUAUUCUUCAUUUAUUAAAACAUAAACUACAAUAAAAUAAAUCACCAUGGAUCUGUGUAAUUCAAACAUAUGCCUCUCUAGAGAUCAAGGAUGGUUCAAAUGAUCUUUGAGGUCAGGAAAUCUUUUGACCUUUGAAAUUUAAUUUCAUAUGAGGCGAAAAAGAAGUGUUCAUUCACUGGGCAAAAAGCACAAUUUCAGACAGGUAUAGUGUAUAUUUUAAGGAAAAAAAUUGAUGAAAGAAAACACCAUCAAGUGAAAUUUAAUCCUACACAUAUUGCACACACAAAUGCACACAUUCAUACACAUCCCUUGACUUUUUUUUCUUAAGGGAUUUUAUGUAAGUUAUAGGAAUAUAGUAUAGUAGAUGAAUACAAAUAAAGAAAAAAAUUGGGAAUGAAAGAAAAAUAAGAAUGAAAAAAGGAUUAUGAACCUGGUGGUAUAUGGAAACCAUUCCAUAAAGCCUACAACAUUAUCUCCCACUUUUCAAGUAGCUAACUCAGAUAGGGAAACAUGAUCAGUCCAACAAAAAUCCCCGUAUCUGUAGAAAAGGAAAGCAAAUAAGACAGUUUGCUUUGGAGAGACACAGGAUAUUUAAAUCUGGAGGAAAUUUACACACACGCACACGUAUAAUCUAGUAGGCAGUAUUAUUAACUGAACCCUGAAUUAAAUGCAGAAAUACAUUUUAUAAGAUUAUGUUAUUAUGUCUCUUGAAAUAAAGUUGAUGAAAAAAUUCCAAAGUUAAUGUUUAUAAAAGUUAUCAUAUAAGCGAUAAGAAAUCUAGCAUCUGGUUCUCUGAAAUACUUUCCAAUGUGUAAUUUAGCCUACCUAGAAAAAUAAAUGAAAUACAGAUUUUUACAAAGAUGAGAUUCCACAGGUUGAGAUUUUCAUGACAAAUAGGCUAUAAAGCAAGUAAGUUUAUAUUCUUGGGCAAAUUUUUGUGACUGCUAGAUUUAAGACAAUUAUAUACUUGUCAAGAUGAAAUGAAAUUAUUUUGAUCUUAAAUUAUUGUUAUAGCCAAGAAAAAAUACUUUUUUUUCUGAUUUAAGGAUAAUGUAUGUUAAUUUUUUAACCUGGAAAAUAAAGCACAAAAUAAAAAUUGUCCACAACUCCAUUUCUCAUAGAAGAGAUAAAAAUAUAGAGAUAAAAAUAGUGUUAAUAUUUGGAUAUGUGUUUGCUGUGUGAAAUUCUUAUACUAUUUUGAGGUAUAUGGAAACCACAUACCUUAACACAGUACUUAGGGGUUAGAUUGCCAGAGUUCAAAUGCUAAAUCUGUCCUUUAUACCUUGUAGGACCUUAGGUAAAUAUCUCAACUCUCAAAUUCGCUAUAGUUUGUUUCUAGUUUAGCUAAUUUUUUUUCCCCAUAAUGUCUCAGUUUUGCCUUCCAAGUUUAAUCCUUUGUUUUUAAUGUUUCUGGUUAUUUUAACAUGUUUCUUUAAACAUCUCUUUAAUUUGAUUCCAUUAUUACAUUUCUUAAAAUUUGGGUUCUCCAGAUGGUUGUUUCUGUUUACUUUCAAAGUGAUUUGUUUCCUUGUGUAGUUAUGACUUUUGUGUGAAUAUAGGUUUAACAUGCCUUCUUUCAUGGUUGUUCUUCCUUUUUGGGAUUGUAGAGACCUACCUAUUGAGAAGUUGUACUUUUCUUUCCUGGGAAAUAUGCGUUUUACCCAUUUUACGUCAUGGGGUUUUUAUUUGAGUAGUAUUAAGUUUAGAUCCAAUGUUCAUAGAUGGUGUAGGAUUGGGACUUGAUUUCCUGUAUAAGAUUUUUUUCUUCUGAUCAUGUCUUCUGGUGAACAUCUUAGUCUCUUUACCAUUUUUUUUUAUGUCCAGAGAGUAGAGUUUCCUCAUUCCUGUUUUGUGGGCUGACAGACCAUUGUGGUUUGUGGAUUCGCUCAGAGAGCUGAUAUCCAGCUCUUCACUGCACAGGCGUGAGGGCUCAUCUCCUGACAUAGUGAAGCCAUUAAAUAUCUCCAGUCUUCAAGGUUGUCUCAGCUUCAUUAAGCCCAGGUUUCUUUCAACUUCAUUUGUCUCUGUAACUUUGAGUUCUCUUUUUCUUACUUAGGAAGAUUUUUCCUUCUUUUAUAUGGUUAUACUUUGUCCAGUAUUUUCAUUUGCUUGGUACAGUUGGCCAGGGUGAAGGUAAGGUAGGGGUGGAGAGUGGACUUUACACUAUAACUGAAUACAUUAUCUUGACAAAAACCAAUUUAACCUAUUGAAAACUCCAUUGUCGCAUCAUAUCUGCAUAGAAAGGAUUUGUUUUUUGAUAAUUCAAAGAGAUAAUGCAUGCAGAAUUCUGGUGCCUAGUAUAUGGAAUGUGCCUGAUAAAUAUUAACGCUAAUAAAUAUUAGUAUUAUCACUAAUCUAUAUUUAAAAUUUUAUAUAGAAAUAUAAUAGAUUAUUGUGUAUUAAUAAUGUAUUAUUAUAACAUGCCAAUAUAUUAUUGAUAAUAUAAAUAUAUAAUAGUUUAUUAUUGAUAAUUAUAUACCAAUAUAGUAUCAAUAAUAUAAAUACAUAUGUAUGUAAAUAUAAAGUAUACACAAACAUAUAUUUAAACAUGUGUUGGGAUUUAUUAUGUGUCAGAAAGUUUUCCAAGCACUGUAUAAAUGCUUAUUUAUUUACAACAACCCUGUGAGAUACAGUUGUUAUCCCUAGUUUACAGGUGAGCAGACUGAGGCACAAUGUUCUUAAGCAAGUGACCCAAAGUCACACAGCUAGUCAGUGGAGAAGCUAUAUUUUAAUGUAUGUGAUAGGUCUUCACACUCACUUCUCUCACAUACGCUGUGCUGUUUUUAAACAUUUAUCUAUAUUAUUUUUUAUCCAUAAUAUUCAGUCUUAUCCAACAAUACUUUUAUAGUAAGCAGUAUUUUCUGAUAGAGAUGAGCUAUCAGGGUUUAUUGGAGUAACUCUUUGUUUAGAAGAAUCAAAACCAUGUAACAGAAUGCAGAACUUAUGUUAUGUGCAUCUAUGUUGUAGCUCUUCAUGCAUCCAGAUAAAGCUGAAGCAAGAUCAAGAUGCUCAAGUGUGGGUGUC
rnacentral:lncRNA from 1 species